GUGCAGAUGAGAGGGAGAUGAAGGAAGCUUGCACAUUUAUGUUGAACAGGUUUAUUCAAAUUGAAACUUCAAAUGUUACAAAGCUCAAGAGAAUAAAUCAUGUCAUAUGCAAAGCUUUAGAUCACAUACUUUUAGAAUCUCCUGUCGAAUGACUCUGUUUGUCUAGAAGAUGAUGCAGAACUAUUUCCAGGAAAGCCCCCA
rnacentral:misc_RNA from 1 species